GAUGAACGCUGGCGGCGUGCCUAAUACAUGCAAGUCGAGCGAACGGACGAGAAGCUUGCUUCUCUGAUGUUAGCGGCGGACGGGUGAGUAACACGUGGAUAACCUACCUAUAAGACUGGGAUAACUUCGGGAAACCGGAGCUAAUACCGGAUAAUAUUUUGAACCGCAUGGUUCAAAAGUGAAAGACGGUCUUGCUGUCACUUAUAGAUGGAUCCGCGCUGCAUUAGCUAGUUGGUAAGGUAACGGCUUACCAAGGCAACGAUGCAUAGCCGACCUGAGAGGGUGAUCGGCCACACUGGAACUGCGCCACGGUCCAGACUCCUACGGGAGGCAGCAGUAGGGAAUCUUCCGCAAUGGGCGAAAGCCUGACGGAGCAACGCCGCGUGAGUGAUGAAGGUCUUCGGAUCGUAAAACUCUGUUAUUAGGGAAGAACAUAUGUGUAAGUAACUGUGCACAUCUUGACGGUACCUAAUCAGAAAGCCACGGCUAACUACGUG
rnacentral:rRNA from 1 species